rnacentral:lncRNA from 1 species
NNNNNNNCUCCAGCCUGGGCGACACUCCCUGGGGUCCUCCUUCUUCCUGCCCUAGAGGGAUUAAAGGUCCUUUCUUGCUCCUGCCCAGCCCCCUGUGGGUGGAUCACCUGAGGUCAAGAGUUCAAGACCAGCCUGGCCAACAUGGUGAAACCCUGCCUCUACUAAAAAUACAAAAAUUAGCUGGGUGUAGUGGUAGGCACCUGUAAUCCCAGCUACUUGGGAGGCUGAGGCAGGAGAAUCGCUUGAACCCAGGAGGUGGAGGUUGCAGUGAACCGAGAUCGCCCCAUUGCACUCCAGCCUGGGCAACAGAGCAGAAACUCAGGAAAAAAAAAAAAAAAAAA